UACAUGGAACAAAGGUUUAAUGUAUUUUUUUCCAAAAGAGUUUAUAUCACAUUUAGCAGCAAUGAUGACACACAAAUGCUUCCUUUAGCUAUUAAUCAGGAAAUAUUUGGGCAGUUUCAGGUAGUAUAUUACAUAUGCUUAUUAAUUAAACUACGAUAUAGUUGGGAAGUAUGAAAAUUCAGGCCGAUUUACAAAAAAAGAAAAUCACCCAGAAACUAAGCAGAAAAAGAAAAAAAGAAAGAAAUCGCAUCCGAGAAUCAAUCUUUUCACUAUUUAUGAAUCCCAUUGCAUUUACAUAUCAGCAACAAAACAACACUCCAUGUGUUUCAUAAUAUAAUACAAGCACUAAAGGAAUACUCCAGCACCAUAACCAUUACAUCCCAGUUUGACUAAUCAUUCUGAGAGGGCACCAGUACACAGCUGGCACUAUAACCACUACAGUAGGCUGUAGUUGUUAUGGUCCCUAGAGUGUUGCUUUCAUUCCCACAAUGAAUGUAAUGUGUAAGAUGUUUUUAUUUCUAUGAAGAAAAUUCAUGUAGAUAAUAUGAUAAAAAUGUGGUGAAAAUUAAGAUUUCUGAAUGUGCUCCAGUUGCAUAAGCCAGAGGUAGGCAACCUUUGGCACGUUGGAUGUUGUGGACUACAUUUCCCAUAAUGCUAUUACAGCCAUAGUGCUGCCAAAGCAUCAAGGAGAUGGUUGUCUAAGCCUGACCUAGGCCAUUUUACAGUGCACCUACUAAAUUCUGAAUGAUUUAUGGUGUAGGAUUGAGCAGAUCCAAGAAGAGGAGUACUUGCUGAUGGACUAUGCAGCCUUGUCUAGUGAGAGCUCUUUCACAUAACAUACAGUGCACAGGAAGCCCUACUGUUAGGGACCAUUUAGUUCCAAGCAGCUACAGAAGUGAAAAAUGUAAACACAUAUUUUAUGUAAUUUAAAUAAAAACACUGUAUCAACAUAUUAAAAUUAAAUUACAUCUCCAAAUGACAUAUCAGGAUAUUACCUAUGGCUUUUAACAAUGUGUCUAAAAACAAUACUGUGCUGGAUAGAAAACUAGAUGUCACCUUGGCACUUGGACACGACCCUUCCUAAAAUGUCCACAAAUUCACAGAUUAACAGCUGACAACAUUUAAAAAAAAUUCUAGAUAAUAAAAAUCUCUAUAGAAAAAUGUGCAAAGAACCAAUCUUGUGAAUUCCAAUCACAGCUCAAUGUCCACCUUGGUCUCCAAACAUCGCAAUAAUUUCUUUGUUGUGUGGAUUCUCUUUUCCAAAAAGUUCUGGCCAUUUUUCUGUUGCCACCUUCCAUAUAAUAUCAGCUCCAAUUGCAGAGGCGAGCUGUAAUUGAAAUAAGAUAGCAUUAAUCUGGCUUGUAUCUGAAAGGUGAGUUAACACUGUAAUGAUCUAUUGUUUUUUAAUGGAAACACUACACAUAAGACGAAUGCAUUGCUUACCGCGGUCAGUCUUGUUUACUGUUCAUCUAGAGACUGACCUGUACUUAUGCAUACUUUAGAUGAAUGUACAAUUAAUUUUCUUUCAAUACUUGUUUUACUGAUCAUUCACAUACCAAAAGAAAAUAAAGACAAGUAAUUUGUAAAUACAAAAAAUACAUAAAAGCACAAAUGUUGCAAAGCAAAAUUAAACAGGAAUUAUUUUUGUACAGUAAAAAGGGCAAUAAACACAAAGGAGAUGUAAAAAAGAAAAGAUUACGUAGAAUGGAGGAAUGUCGAAUUUCAUUCAUGUUU